GGAAGUAUAGUUUAAUUAAAAAUUAUGAAGCUGUUAACUUUAAGAUGCUUUAUUUAAGGCUGCUUCCU
rnacentral:tRNA from 1 species